UACGAAGGGGGCUAGCGUUACUCGGAAUUACUGGGCGUAAAGGGCGCGUAGGCGGCUUGAUAAGUCAGGCGUGAAAUUCCCGGGCUCAACCUGGGGACUGCGCUUGAGACUGUUGAGCUAGAGGAUGGAAGAGGGUCGUGGAAUUCCCAGUGUAGAGGUGAAAUUCGUAGAUAUUGGGAAGAACACCGGUGGCGAAGGCGGCGACCUGGUCCAUUACUGACGCUGAGGCGCGACAGCGUGGGGAGCAAAC
rnacentral:rRNA from 1 species